AUUAUAUCAGUUAUUUCAGGAUUUAGGAUUUUAUAUUAAAAGUUCAAAGCCACUGGAGUUUCUAUUGGGUGUUUUAUAAUCUUUAGUGGAUGUCACCACAGUAUAUUAAAGAUGCACUUUUGUUUUUCUUGGUCUCUCUGACUGUGAGUUCAGAUAGAAUGCAAAGAACUUUUUGCAACAAAAACUAUCCAGCGAUCAAAGUCAAAACAAUUGCUUAGCUUUCUGUCUGAAUACACCUUGAGGCAAAGCAAGCCAAACUGAACACAAAACAGACAUAUUACGGUCUUAUAAAGUUCAACAUUUAAUUAAUUUGAAGUCUCUGGUGCUUCUGGACACCUAAAAAACGUCCAAUUGUCACU